GUUCAUUUUAGCCUAUAGAAAAAAAAUCAAUUGGCGGGGCUGAGGCUGUAGCUCAGUGGUAAAGUGCUUGCCUCGAAUGUGUGAGGCACUGAGUUCAAUCCUCAGCACCACAUAAAAAUAAAUAAAGGUACUUUGUGUUCAUCUACAACUAAAUAAAUAUUAAAAAAAUCAAUUGGCCAUGUUUGUGUGGCCAGUAGAAUCUAAUUUUGGCUGCCAUUCUGUUGCAUUGACUUAAGUGUCAAUCCUUUCAUCAGUACCAUACUGUCUUGAUUCAGAUUGCUUUAGAGUUAAAUCUUAAAAUCAGGUUGUGUGAUUCUUUCUGCUUUAUUUUUCUCUUACAAAAUUAUUUGACUAUUCUAGCCUCUCUGCCUUUACAUACAGUUUUAAAGUCAAAAUUUUUGGAGGUUUAUUUUAUUUUUUCAUGGUCUGCAAUUCUUUCAUUUAAUAUUCAGUUAUAUUUCUUUUUUCAGUUAUAUUUAUUUAUUGUAUAAAAUUACUGAACAGUCAAUCAAUUAACAAUAAGAUCACCUAACAUUUGAUGAUUGUUUUACCACAAGUCUUUAUUAUACUACUAAAAUGUACUAUCUAUAUGCUCAUUGCAAAAUAGAAGUGAUUUUCUCUUGUCCAUCAUUGUAAUAAAUAGUAGAGUAUAAUAAAAGGAUGGCAAAUAUGAAGCAGUAAAAUCUGUUUCUCUAGAUAUAAAAAAAAUCAUACUGAGAAUUUGAUUGGAUAUUGAAUUUAUAGAUAG
rnacentral:lncRNA from 1 species